CUCAAAACAGAACACUAGAGCUGGAAAUGACCUGAGAACACAGAAUGUUUCAGCUUGAAGGGACAGAAGAGAUCAUUUCAUCCAACUCUCUCUCUCCUCUCAAAUUUUACAAAUGAUAAAGAUAUAUGAAAUGGCCAAGGGCAUCCAAACCACCAGAGCUGAGACCAGAAACCACAUUUCCUAAGUUCCAGUCCUGGACAUUUGUUCCCUAUGUUACCAGGAGGUGAGAAUUGAAUUUGACCAUGAAGAAUGGAUUGUGGUGUCAUUGGAAAGAAUAAUAAUCCCAUGCAAUGAAGAUGGGGUAAACAAAGAAAGAGUUCUAAAAAUGAAGUACUAAGAAGUGAUUCACUACAAAGUGGUGAGGCAAAUGAGACUAUAAGUUAAGGAAGACCCAUAAACUCAUAGACUUUAAAAGCUAGAAGGGACCGAGGACAUCUUCUACUUCAAUCAGCUCAUUUUAAAGAUCCAGCCAUCAAGAACAGAAUUUUACUGACUUGGAGAAUUCAAUAAAGCAGCUGAGGAAGACUUAAAAUAAUAAUGAUGCCGGAUAUUUCUAGAGCCAAAGACCCAGGAGAGCCUGAAGCACCUUUCCCCCGCAAGAGUAAGCUUAAUUGCCACAACAUGCAUGGCCCAGCAGUGACUGGAAAUCUUUCUCCUCAACACUUCCCAAUUGAAGGGACUUCUGAAGAGAAACCUGAGCAGACUUUACCUCAGCUCCUGUUGCCCAGGGCACAAUGAAUAUUGAAAUAUGCCCUGCAUGAUAGCACAUGUAUAACCAAUAUAAAAUGGCUUAUUGUCUCAGAGGAGAGAGGGAAGGGAGGAAGGUAAGCACUGUGGAACUUAAAAUGUUAAGAAAUAAAUGCCAAAAUUGUUUUUACA
rnacentral:lncRNA from 1 species